rnacentral:rRNA from 1 species
CCGUUGGUGAACCUGCGGAAGGAUCAUUG